rnacentral:rRNA from 1 species
UUGGAGGGCAAGUCUGGUGCCAGCAGCCGCGGUAAUUCCAGCUCCAAUAGCGUAUAUUAAAGUUGUUGCAGUUAAAAAGCUCGUAGUUGAAUUUCGGGAUCAGAGUGUCGGUCGUGCCUCGGUACGCACUGGUAUUAUUGGUUCCUACCUUCUGAAGAACCGCGAUGUCAUUAAUUUGGUGUCGUGGGGAAUCAGGACUAUUACUUUGAAAAAAUUAGAGUGUUUAAAGCAGGCUUACGCUUGAAUACAUUAGCAUGGAAUAAUGAAAUAGGACGUUUGAUUCUAUUUUGUUGGUUUCUAGGAUUGACGUAAUGAUUAAUAGGGAUAGUUGGGGGCAUUAGUAUUCAAUUGUCAGAGGUGAAAUUCUUGGAUUUAUUGAAGACUAACUACUGCGAAAGCAUUUGCCAAGGAUGUUUUCAUUAAUCAAGAACGAAAGUUAGGGGAUCGAAGACGAUCAGAUACCGUCGUAGUCUUAACCAUAAACUAUGCCGACUAGGGAUCGGAUGAUGUUAAUUUUUUAAUGACUCAUUCGGCGCCUUACGGGAAAC